rnacentral:rRNA from 1 species
AUUGAACGCUGGCGGCAGGCCUAACACAUGCAAGUCGAACGGUAACAGGAAGCAGCUUGCUGCUUUGCUGACGAGUGGCGGACGGGUGAGUAAUGUCUGGGAAACUGCCUGAUGGAGGGGGAUAACUACUGGAAACGGUAGCUAAUACCGCAUAACGUCGCAAGACCAAAGAGGGGGACCUUCGGGCCUCUUGCCAUCGUAUGUGCCCAGAUGGGAUUAGCUAGUAGGUGGGGUAACGGCUCACCUAGGCGACGAUCCCUAGCUGGUCUGAGAGGAUGACUAGACACACGGGAACUGAGACACGGUCCAGACUCCUACGGGAGGCAGCAGUGGGGAAUAUUGCACAAUGGGCGCAAGCCUGAUGCAGCCAUGCCGCGUGUAUGAAGAAGGCCUUCGGGUUGUAAAGUACUUUCAGCGGGGAGGAAGGGAGUAAAGUUAAUACCUUAGCUCAUUGACGUUACCCGCAGAAGAAGCACCGGCUAACUCCGUG